GAUAGCCGAAAAUAAUCGCAGGGUUUAAGGUAGGGUUAGUAAUCACACGCACAUCUCCGCCACCCGGCGCCCAAGUGUCAUAGACACCGCCAAAGAACAUGGCUUUGAACACCAACAGCAGCGCACCACAUCCUAAGAGAAUGAGGUGAUAACCAAUAAUAUUGGUCAUUUGGUUUUUAUCUUUCCA
rfam:Cyanothece sp. ATCC 51142 circular chromosome, complete sequence.